AGAUAUGGUUGGACUGAUGAACUUCCCCCACAACUACAAAAAAACUAUCUGGACUUGGGGUUGCCUGCUGAAACUGAUGUUCGUAAUUGGACCUCGUUAGACCUGGCUAAACCUGUUUGGGAAGAGGAACCGAGGCCAGACAGCUUCGAAGAAGGGUUUGUCGAACAGGUUAAGUUUGAAGAUCUCAGUAUUGAAGAGAAAGAAACUUUUGGGACAUGGGAGCAGUCCCUUGAUCUGGUUCCUGCACUUACAAGAUCCACAGACCCACAUGUAAAGCAAUGGACACUGUUAGCACAAAGCCAACUUUCUCCAAACCAGGAGAAUAAAACUGAUUCUUCUGGGAACAGAGUUGAAUCUGCUGGUGUGGGGUUAGAAGUAGAUAGUCAAAAGAAGACAAAUUCUUAAUAUUUUUACACAAUUAUGUUAUGUUAUGUUACGUUAUUUAGUUACAAUUAUAGAAUAGAUUAUUUCAUUAGAA